rnacentral:misc_RNA from 1 species
GAUGAAGAACGUAGCGAAAUGCGAUAAGUAAUGUGAAUUGCAGAAUUCAGUGAAUCAUCGAAUCUUUGAACGCACCUUGCACCCUUUGGACUGCUCCAAAGGGUAUGCUCGUUUGAGUGUCAUUGUACUCUCACACUCUCUGAUCCUUUGGAUUUGGGGAGCAGUGGACUUGGGUGCUUGCUGCUUCCUUGUGGCUCACCUGAAAUGCAUCAGUGCAUCUCUCGAUUGGACAUAGUACGGCGUGAUAAGUGUCGUCGCCGGCACCUCAUAUGAGGGUGGCCGAUCGGGAGCUCUGUGCUUUCAAACCGUCUUCGGACAACGCUGACAACUUGACCUCAAAUCGAGUAGGACUACCCGCUGAACUUAAGCAUAUCAAUAAGCGGAGGA